GGAGAGUCUUCAAAAUGAUCUUCAAAGCCUCAGACCCCAGAGGCUGGGGUAGGGAGAUGAGCUGAGAGGUAAGGUGAGGAGAUCUUGAGAUGCUAUUCU